AAGCCAAAGAGGCACAGAAACCAAACAAAACCUGGAAACAAGACACCGGAAGAUGCCAUUGUUAUUGUUUGCAGGAGUAUGUGGAUGAAAGCUCUGAUUUGUAAGAGGAUGUUUAAGUACUCAACUAUGGAGAGGGAUAAUAGCUAAGCCCUCUGGACAGCAACUUUGCGGUCAAGGAUUGAUACGGUGGGAACUGGGAUGAUGCAUGACCGCAUGCUUUUUUGGACCAGAUUUGGGUUUGUAACUUACAGGGACAGCCCGGCAGGUCGAUGCCUCCAAUCUGCUCACAUUGCAAUUGUCCCAGCCACCCUCCAACAGCAGCUUGAGGUACAGUGUGGACGCACGCUUUCUCUUGAUGAAUAAUGAACAUGUAGCUCUUGAAGUCGUCGCGCACGCCGCCCGGGAAGGUACCUCGGCGAGAUUUGACAUUCCUGAUAUCGGAAUGCAUGAAUAGUACCCAUACAGAUACAGGCAACUUAGACUGAACGGCAUGAUAGCUGGCUGAAGUAUGAACGCACGUCUUCCCCCUUUUUUUGUCAUUUACUUUCCUACCUUUGAUGGUCAUGCAUUAGUUAAUGGAGGAAUCAUUGGGAGAGGUAGCCCUCUAGGCGCCUCGUUGACUUGCAACAUUUCUGAUUUCCAAAUGCAUAAAAAACCCUGCCAGCGGCUGGUUCGGAGGCAGCCAUAUCACAGAUCGACUUCAUUUCGACGCAACCACUAGAGACUCCGUCUCGGUCUCCAUUCCUUUGCCUAGCUAAUGGGGAUGGGGAUGGCACUUGCUCCACGCUCGUCUCUGUCUCUGCGCUCCCUGCUGCUGCUCAUGCCGCACAGGAAGCCACAUCGGAGCUCUUUCUUCUCCUCCUCCGCCGCGGUUCCGCCUGCGGCUCCAGGAACUGCCAUUCCGGCUUCUGAUCCUGCCGUUCAGCCUCCAGCCGCUCCAGAUCCUGAUCUUGCAGUUCCUGAAGGUCCGCGCGGAUCUAGCCGCGAUGGUCCGCCACGCCAACCUCCUGGAACUAUGGAUAUAGACGCUGAAGACCCCGGCAAGAAGACUCUCUAACAGCUAAUAAUACAAAGUCAGUGGGAGCCUUUCCCACUGUCCUCAAGGUUAAAAAAAAGGACCGGCAAGUCAUCAGAGUUCGCCUACGGCACUUCAACGUGUACUCCUUGAUCAGCCACCCACCGUACGAACUGCAAAUGCUUGCUGCGGUUACUGCCGUGUUACCUCUAUGGACAUGUAAUCUCAGUGUUGUCGUAUUAUUGAUCUUUGUACCGUUCCAAUCUACUUCAACAAAUAAAGGUGUGCGUUAGAUUUUCGUUUUGAGAGGUAUGAUGUACAACUUGCGUAAAGAAAUAUAAGAGCGUUUAGAUCUUUAUAAGAAACACUCUUAAAUUUCUUUACAGAGGGUGUACGUACGUUAUUAAUCUUUGCCCAAUUGCUCUUAAGCAGUACACAUGUGUGCAGUUCUUUUCGGAGGAAAAAGAACAUAGACUGCAUGCAGUCAACAUACGUUUCGAUGGGAAAUGGGGCGUUGACAUCCAUCGUCCAUGAGCGCGUGCUCUGCUCUGGGAUUGAUACGACUUGAAUGAAUUUGUUGGAGUCAGUCGUCGGUCUGAUCCACUUGUAGUACGUAGCAGGUUGUUCCGAGACUGGCUAUACAUCUAUCUAGACAUGCGUAUUGACAUACUACUUAUUUGGCACUCGAGGUUUCAGUCCGCCAGUGGACAAGCAACUAGCCUGAAAUUUCUUCCGUUUGUAACAUUCACGCAACUGAGUUGAAGUAGUUGCUUUCGCAGCAUGUUACUACCCUCUUGCUGUCUUCAAUCCUGAGUCCUGACCUUGAACCCGAUUUCGAGGAUGCUUCUAGAUGCAGGAUCGCUGGGCGCGGACCGUGAGAAAGACCGGUGGCCGACCAGGCGCUCGCGCCCUCUACCAACGGUGUGCUUGCCGGUAGGUCCAACGGCGAGCGGCGCCCCUGGAUGGGCAUGAACGCCCACCACCUGUUCGACCAAAGGUUUCAGAGCAGCCACCGCCCCUUUGUACAUCCAUCCAGGUCAGUGAAAAUGAGGUUAUGUUUUUUGUACAAUACAAACUUGGAAAUCCAUCAAAGCCACGUUGAGUUGAAUCCACCCCGUCAACACAGCCAUGCCAAACGACCUUAGGCUGUGAUUCAACCUGGUUAAGGAAUAUUAGGAGGUUAACCAGCCCAUAUAGCUAGGUUGGUUCAAGUUUGCAUACACAAUAAAAUAAAAAAAAAUUGGACGAAUGCAGGCAGCUGGCCUGCUUCAUUAUAUUAAGAUAGGUAGGGUUGCCGGUUCGGUGCGGCAAAGUAAAAGAAAAAUCACAAGAUACAGGGGAAGGGCAGGCUAGGAAAAGCAUAACAAGAGACUUUUCCUUUUGGACAAAAGAAGUACUUUUAGUCAGGAAACGUAAACUAGUCUUCUUCAAGGCAUCGUAUGCAUUUUCCUUUUCCUCAGCUCUGCAAUGCUGAGAAUGAUUCUUUGAUUGUGAUAACUUCGUUGUAUAUGUGCUGUAUAGUUGGCCGAUCUUUAGGUGUCUCCGCAGAGCACAACAACCCAAGCUCAAUGAGCUUUAUGAUGCAGUUCAUUGCAACCAUUGGAUGAGCUUCCCGGUCUAAAUCACCGCCUGCAUCCUCACCUUCAUUUCUAUAACCUGGAACUAUUCUAGGGUCUAGAAUCUCCUCAAUCUUUUGAGGAAAUGAUUUUUCAACAAAUUUGUAAAGGCUCAGGCCAUCUUUAAACAUCUCAUCAGUUGGACGCUUUCCUGUUAGCAUUUCUAAGAUGAUGACUCCAUAGCUAAAUACAUCGCCCUCAGUGGAGAUUUUGCUCCCAAAGCCAUAUUCUGCAGUAUGCAUAAGUCAUUCAAACAAUCAAUUGACACAACUUGCAUUCUUUUUAAUUAAAAACAAAGCAUCUUCUAUUUAGAAAAUAUUACCUGGGGCAAUGUAUCCAACUGAUCCUCUUGGCCCCACUAAGCUUGUAGAAGUAUGAAUGUCCGAAGAAUUGUAACUAUGCAGGAACUUAGCCAACCCGAAAUCGCCAACACGUGCGCCCAUGAAAUCAUCCAAAAGGACAUUGCUAGGCUUCAGAUCGCAGUGUGCCAUAGGAGGCACACAUUGGUUAUGGAGGUAAUCCAAAGCUGCAGCUAUGUCCACUGCUAUUACUAUUCUUGUACCGAAACUCAAUGGCCUUCUCUGACCAUCCUCAUGGACUGUUGGAUGGAGCCAACUUCCCAGGUCGCCGUUAACACUAUAUUCAAGAACAAUAGCUUUGAAAUCAUGUCCUGUUGGAUCAAUCGUUGAGCAUGCAGUAAUCACCCUUAUAAGAUUCCUGUGACGAGUAUUUCUCAAUGCUUCACACUCAACAAUGAAGCUUUUUGGUGCUCCGAGUUGAUUGAGUUUGAAAACUUUGAUGGCAACUUCAUGUUCUUCAGAUUCAAUUCUACCUCUGUACACAGACCCAUAUUUUCCUGAACCGACCAAGUUAUCUGGUGAGAAACCAUUUGUUGCUCUCACUAAAUUUGCAUAUGUGAACUUCUUCAACUCUUUGCAGGAUGGAUGAGCUUCUUGUUUGAGUUUCUUUUUCUUCUUCAAAAUAAUGGUUGCAAAGCAUGAUAACAGGACCAAGGAGAGAACUGUAAAUCCUACUAUCUUGAAAAUGCUGGAUACAUUCCUUUGUUUGGAUGCCUCUGCAUUGCAAAAUGGCAGCUGUAGCAAUGGAAUGCUGGUACAUAACUUCACGUUCCCUUGAAUGAAAACCUUGCUUCCAUUCUGAAAUAUCCCAUCUGAUGGUACUGGACCCUCGAGGUUAUUGAAGGACAAAUUGAGAAGCUUCAUAGACUUAAAGAACUUAAAGAAGUCAGGGAUUUCACCAGAUAAGUUGUUUUGAGAUAGAUCCAUCUCAAUGAUUCCUCCCAAACUUUUGAAGGAGUGAGGGAUUUUCCCAUGAAAGAGGUUACACUCCAUGUGGAGGGACUCCAAAUGGACGCACUGACCUAGAGUGGGGGGUAUUUGUCCAGACAAUUGAUUAUGGGAAAUAUUUAGUGGCCCAAGAUUUUUCAGAUUGCCAAUCUCCAGAGGUAUCUGUCCAGAGAGUUGGUUGUGAGACAAGUCCAGACACUGGGAAAGGGAGAUAAGAGUAAAGAGCUCCUUUGGUAUUCUUCCAUCAAAGCUGUUACAAGAGAGGUUCAGUUGUUCCAACUUUUUGCAGCCUGCUAAAGCUCCUGGGAUAGGACCACUCAAAUUAUUUUCCUGUAAAUAGAGCUCACUCAGUUGACUCAGAUUACCAACAGAAAGCGGAAUUGAUCCGGAAAGUUUGUUCUUGAACAAGCUUAAGACAAAUAAGUUUGGAAGAUUUCCAAGUGAUUCGGGAAUAUAUCCAGUAAGCAAAUUCUGGUCCAUGUAAAGAAGUUCGAGGCUUGUCAAGUACUGUAUCUCGUGUGGUAUAAUGCCAGAUAUUUUAUUUGAUCUCAAUAGCAGUAACCCUAAGCUUUUUGAAAGGCUUCCAAUGGACUUGGGCAAGACACCCUGAAGGUUAUUUUCAUCCAAACGCAACUUCAUCAGUUGUGUGCAAUUGCUCAAUGAGGAUAAGAAAGACCAAUCUCCUGCUUCAAGUUGAUUCCCACCUAGAUCUAGAUCGACUAGACCAGUAAGAGUUCCAAGAGAAGGAACAACACCAUGGAAUUGAUUCUCUCGGAGGUCGAUCAUCUGAAGAUUGGUUGUGUUGGCUAGUGAAGUGGGGAUUUGGCCUUGGAAUUGGUUUCCUUGCAUAAUCAAAGUCUGGAUAUUUGGAAGGGUAUACCCGAUGUUAUAUGGAAUUUCCCCUACAAGUAUGUUUGUACCCAUGCCAAGGUACGGAAUAUUGCCUAUACUCAUCGGGAUUCUACCUUGGAAAUUAUUAUCUGCUAGCGAGAGCCGGCGAAGGGAAGAAAAAUUCCCUAAAGAAGGAGGUAUGGUGCCAGAAAGAUUAUUUGAUUGCAAGAUAAGGUAUUGUAAGGGUGAAUCAAUGUUCGACGAAGCUGGUAUGGACCCGACAAAAUUGUUC